AUUCUAGAUUUUAUUUGUAAAGAUUAGAUGCAACUACUUUUCAUACAAUGUAUCAUAUAUACAAUCUUAGGAUUUUGAGAAAAGUAAAGUUUUAUUUCACAUUCAUUUUCAUGGGAUAUAGUCACAAUAGCACCUCUACACAUCAUAAGAGGACCCAAUUGAAUGAAAAAAAGAGAAAUCUAAUCUCUAUUAUGUCCUA
rnacentral:lncRNA from 1 species